GGCGAACGGGUGCGUAACGCGUAUGCAACUUACCUUUUACUAGAGAAUAGCCAAGAGAAAUUUUGAUUAAUGCUCUAUGUUCUUAUUUACUCGCAUGAGUAAAUAAGCAAAGCUCCGGCGGUAAAAGAUGGGCAUGCGUCCUAUUAGCUUGUAGGUGAGGUAAUGGCUCACCUAAGCUCCGAUAGGUAGGGGUCCUGAGAGGGAGAUCCCCCACACUGGUACUGAGACACGGACCAGACUUCUACGGAAGGCAGCAGUAAGGAAUAUUGGACAAUGGAGACAACUCUGAUCCAGCCAUGCCGCGUGAAGGAAGACGGCCUUAUGGGUUGUAAACUUCUUUUAUACAGGAAGAAACCUUUCCACGUGUGGAAAGUUGACGGUACUGUAAGAAUAAGGAUCGGCUAACUCCGUGCCAGCAGCCGCGGUAAUACGGAGGAUCCAAGCGUUAUCCGGAAUUAUUGGGUUUAAAGGGUCCGCAGGCUGUUUGUUAAGUCAGAGGUGAAAUCCUACCGCUCAACGGUAGAACUGCCUUUGAUACUGGCAAACUUGAGUUAUUGUGAAGUAGUUAGAAUGUGUAGUGUAGCGGUGAAAUGCAUAGAUAUUACACAGAAUACCGAUUGCGAAAGCAGAUUACUAACAAUAUACUGACGCUGAAGGACGAAAGCGUGUGUAGCGAACAGGAUUAGAUACCCUGGUAGUCCACGCCGUAAACGAUGGUCACUAGCUGUUCGAUGUACAUUGGUACGUUGAGU
rnacentral:rRNA from 1 species